UACGUAGGGUGCAAGCGUUGUCCGGAAUUAUUGGGCGUAAAGAGCUCGUAGGCGGUUUGUCGCGUCUGCUGUGAAAGACCGGGGCUCAACUCCGGUACUGCAGUGGGUACGGGCAGACUAGAGUGAUGUAGGGGAGACUGGAAUUCCUGGUGUAGCGGUGAAAUGCGCAGAUAUCAGGAGGAACACCGAUGGCGAAGGCAGGUCUCUGGGCAUUAACUGACGCUGAGGAGCGAAAGCAUGGGGAGCGAACAGG
rnacentral:rRNA from 1 species